UACGGGGGAUGCAAGCGUUAUCCGGAAUCACUGGGCGUAAAGAGUCUGUAGGUGGUUUAAAAAGUCUGCUGUUAAAUAUUAAAGCUUAACUUUGAAAAGGCAGUGGAAACUAUUAAACUAGAGCAUGGUAGGGGUAAAGGGAAUUCCCAGUGUAGCGGUGAAAUGCGUAGAUAUUGGGAAGAACACCAGUGGCGAAAGCGCUUUACUAGGCCAUUGCUGACACUCAGAGACGAAAGCUAAGGGAGCGAAUGGG
rnacentral:rRNA from 1 species